UACCCCGUGGUGUAAUCGGUAACACAACAGGUUUUGGUCCUGUUAUUCCUGGUUCGAGUCCAGGCGGGGUAACCA
rnacentral:tRNA from 1 species